rnacentral:rRNA from 1 species
UGUUGAUAGAACAAUGUAGAUAAGGGAAGUCGGCAAAUUGGAUCCGUAACUUCGGGAGAAGGAUUGGCUCUAAGGGUUGGGUGCUUUAAGAACCAGGCCUUAGCGGCCUGAGCAAUCGGGCUGCUUCCAGGCUUGGAGCUCUUGGGCACGCUUAACAACCAGCUUAGAACUGGUACGGACCAAGGGGAAUCUUACUGUCA